rnacentral:rRNA from 1 species
ACUUGUUCUUUAAAUGAGGACUAGUAUGAAUGGCACCACGAGAGUUAUACUGUCUCCUUUUUCUAAUCAGUGAAACUAAUCUUCCCGUGAAGAAGCGGGAAUAAAAAUAUAAGACGAGAAGACCCUAUGGAGCUUUAAACAAAUAUACAAUUGCCUCUUCCAAUAAAAAUUUCAGUAAAAGACACUUCUAUUUGGGCACUUUGAUAUAAAGUUUUAGGUUGGGGUGACCACGGAGUAAAAAAUAACCUCCGCAGUGAAAGGGGCUUUCCCCCUAAACCAAGGGCUACGACCCUAAGAAUCAAUAAAUUGACACCAAUUGACCCAAUUAAUUGAUCAAUGAACCAAGUUACCCUAGGGAUAACAGCGCAAUCCACUUCAAGAGCCCCUAUCGACAAGUGG